AUUAUAUUAGUGUAGAUCACAUCAUUAUUUCAUGAUGAAAACGUAUUUAGU
rnacentral:tRNA from 1 species